GCCUGGCUGGCUCAGCUGGAAGAGCAUGCAACUCCUGAUCUCAAGGUUGUGAGUUUGAGUCUCACAUUAGGUG
rnacentral:tRNA from 1 species